GCUGAACACAGGUGAAAAGAUCAGGCUCUUGGAACAAGAAGGGGCUUCAGCCUGGGUGCUCUCAGUUCAACAGGCUGACUGGCUGCUUGGAAGAAGUUUAUCUUUGAAAUGCCAGUUUCAAUAGGGUUGAUUUCCUCUACAAAGAGAUUCCCAUGCACUUCUCAAGAUUUUGUUUCAGUUAAGGUUGGGCAUGACUGUCUCUGCUUCCAGAGAUUACUAAAUUUCAUUUGAUUUAGGUGUAUUUUUCUUAGUUUGCUUAUAAUCUGGCUUUGAACUGAAGUGGAAAAAAACUCACAAACAAACACAAAGUUCCUUUUUCACUGCCCUGUCACAGCACCAGGUUUGUGGGUUUGUAACCUGUGUGUAGAACAAGAAAAUCCUUCUUGGAUCUUUAGAAGCCUGGAGGAAAAAAAUAAAACCUUUCUUCUGUGUCAACCACCUGAGAGGCCUCGUUCAGGGUCAUGAACAUUGUGUGGGGAGACAGACCCUGUGCUCAUGAGCAGAGGAAAUGGAAAUGCAUGUCUGAGUGAAAACCACAGCUCUGGUGUGGACCCUGGAGCAUCCUUCUCCUGCCUGGUGUUUCCCACUCAGCAGAGCUCAGCAGAUCCCAGCAGCAAUCCGUGCUGGAGCACAGUGAUCCCAGGGAACUCCUGGAGGUCCAAAGGAACUGAUCCUGCAGUAUCUUUAUUCACAUCACUGAGGGACUUGGAGCCUGUGCUCCUAUGAACUCCAAUUCCAUCCUGCUGCUGCCCACAGGAAUGUCUGCUGAUUAUCUGCAAUUAGACAGAGUUUGGAGGCACUUGGGGCCAUUGGGCAAGCAGAGCAGCCAGGUAAACCUGUUGAAAAUAACAGCAAUUUAAUUGUUUACUCUAAAACCUAAUAGCACUAAUUAAAAAUGUCCAUACUGUCAACAAUUCAAUAACACUGUCGAUUCCAAAUACAGGCACUUGGAAAGAUAGCCAAAAUAUUAUUUUCAAAAAGCUGAUCAUAAAAUAAAAUUGCAGUUCCUUAGGGCAUUGUAGCAUCUCUAGGACUUUCCUCAGUAUCAGUUUAAAACCCCUAACUUUUAGGUGAGGGACUAGUGGGGCAACAAUGCAUUCAAGUACAGAGAGCUGUCAUGAUUUGCUUCAUUAUAUUGAUGCUGACUUUUGAAAUUAAUGAUUUUGAUAGGACUGAAAUAAAAUUUGUGAGUAAAAAAUGCUUCCACAGUUUUGCAAAAAACCUUUUUUUGGGAGAAAAAAAAAAGGCAGCGUGUUCCAAAGGAAUACUUUGAUGAAACUGCAGAUUCUAGAAAAAGCUGUUGCAUUGAAGAAAUGUCAUCAGCCUCUAUCUUGGGGCUCAUUCAGGCAAUUUAAUGAAUACAAAAGCUAACACUUGCAAUCAGGAAGGACUAGUGAUACAUUUUUUAAAGGGGAAUUAAUUUUGGAAAACACUAGAACUCCAACACUGUAGGACGUCUGUGGCAUCACGCCAAGUACUUGAUAUUAGCUGUUAAUUGGCACUCAAAUUCUCAUUCUUUACGUGAGCAUGUAUGCCUGAGGACUGAUGAACCCAAGACAGCUCCGUGCAGGACUGGAUGCUAAAGGAGCCCCUUAAAACCAUUCCUAUAAAUGGUCACACCUCACUAGCAAGAGGCACAUGUCUAACAUCCAAAUCCUGGUAGAACAGAAGCUCAGAGUUCAUUAAUCUUAGACUGUAACAGCCCCAAGCAUUAGCAGAAAGCCCAGGUGGGUAGAGAACAUGUUCCUGUGCUCCUUGGGAUGAAAAUUAUGAUGCUGAUGAGCUAUGCAAUAGAUGUCAGGUGAUUUGGGAGCAAAGCUCCAACCCCAUGUGAUCCCAUGGUGAGGGAAAGAUACGAAUUUUCUGAGUAUUAUUUCUGCUGCCUGGUAGUGAAGACAGGAAUAAAUGAGCAGUUACUGAUGAGUUUUUCUCUAUUUAAAUCCUGUGACAUGACCCACAGCAUCACACAUCAGAAUUUUAAAACACUGAAUCACGCCUUUGAAUUGUGUGCACCUAAACUUUCAUUUGACUGUGGCAGAGUUUUGUUUCUGAAGAUACAAUACAGAAAACCAGAAAAUUUAAAGUUAAUCUGCAGAUAAAAAUGUGAGGUACAUACAGUGUGAGUGCCAGAAAAAUCACUGGUAUUUUAGGAAAUUUUUUUUCAUCCCUGUUACCUCCAUGGUGUUGUAGCACAACUCAGCAGAGUUGGCUUU